AAGACAGCCUAGAGCUUCUAGAUGGAAAUGCAACAUUCCAGCCCUCUGACAGUGAGAUUUGAGGCACACAGACCUGGGCAUCUGAAAUGAGGAAACUGAAGCUCAGAGAAGUAUUUUUACAUCCACAGCUGUCUCGAAUACCAAGAGCCCCCGCCUUGGGGCGUUGAUGCCUGCCUCCUCCUCAGCUCGGGUCUCAUUGCUACCUUAUCUCCUCCUGGCUCCUUGACUCAGGUCCCGGCUCAAACGUCGCCUCUGCAGGGAGAUCUUCCCAGACGAGGGUGUCUAAAGCAGCGCCCCCAGCACCUGCCACAGCCUCUCCACUUUGCUGUUCUGAUAGCACUCACAGCCCCUGACUUUCUCCUGUCUCUUCCCGGAGGCGAGGGCUUCACAGGGGUAGGGACUUUGUUUGCCUGUUUUUUUCAUUUUAUUCCCAGUUUCUGUAACAGUUCC